UCUUUCUCAUUUUGUAGGUAUUAGGUACGGAGUAACGGAGGCAAGGAGGCAGACUCGGCAGCUUGACUUUGUUGAAGAGCGAUGCCUCUGCUGCAGAGUGGAGAAGAUGAUGGAUGCGGAUCUGGAAACAAUUUCCAAGAGUGAAGCUAAUCUGACGUGAUGUUAGAAGAGUUGGAAUUGACAAUCCUGAUGCUGCUUAUAAGAUUAUGGUGAUUACCAAAACUGGAUUCUGAAAGCCGAAAAAGGCAGGUUGAUGAAACUUCGGGACACAAGAUCUCAUUGAUAUAUUCCACUAUACGCCGCUUCAGACGGUGGCAUUGAGCUGAUGGCAAGGAGAGUGGCUGCGACUGCGAGUGCAAUUCUUGUAAUUACCAUAGGUCUAUCAAAGCUUGCCCGUUAUUUCUACUGCUGAGAAGAUGCAGAGUUUGGAUUCUCGUAUUCUUGCCUUAGAUCUGUAACUAUUAAGUUUAAUUUACAUGACAACCAGCGUUCGGCUUUUGGAGGUGAUAUUAGUGACUAUCCUUUGGCCUCUCUCUAUUAAUUCCAUCGUUUCCAUUGCUAGGAAGAUGUGAGCUUGUACACUGUAUGCUGUUCUUAAUUCUUGAGAUUAUGUCUAGUCUCAACUUUUAACAUUCACUAAUAGACACGUGUGACCAGAGAUUAUUUACUCAUCCCUGCCCUCUGGGUUUAUUCUCUCUCAAGUGAUUGUAAGAAUCUUCAAAAUUCAUCGUUCUUUGCAAA